GAUGAACGCUGGCGGCGUGCCUAAUACAUGCAAGUCGAGCGAACAGAUGAGGCGCUUGCUCCUCUGACGUUAGCGGCGGACGGGUGAGUAACACGUGGAUAACCUACCUAUCAGACUGGGAUCACUUCGGGAAACCGGAGCUAAUACCGGAUAAUAUCUUGAACCGCAUGGUUCAAUAGUGAAAGACGGUUUUGCUGUCACUUCUAGAUGGAUCCGCGCCGCAUUAGCUAGUUGGUAAGGUAACGGCUUACCAAGGCAACGAUGCGUAGCCGACCUGAGAGGGUGAUCGGCCACACUGGAACUGGGACACGGUCCAGACUCCUACGGGAGGCAGCAGUAGGGAAUCUUCCGCAAUGGGCGAAAGCCUGACGGAGCAACGCCGCGUGAGUGAUGAAGGUCUUCGGAUCGUAAAACUCUGUUAUUAGGGAAGAACAAAUGUGUAAGUAACUAUGCACGUCUUGACGGUACCUAAUCAGAAAGCCACGGCUAACUACGUG
rnacentral:rRNA from 1 species